rnacentral:misc_RNA from 1 species
ACUAUAUUCCACUGCGACAAAGAAAAGACCUGAUAUCGUCAGCUUCUACUAACCUUGCAAUUAUAUUCCACUGCAAAAAGAUAAGACCUGAUAUCACCAACUUCCUCAAAUUUCCUUAAGCCUCAGUAUGUCAUCAACCGUGUGUUGUUGAGGAUCGACCCAAGAGUCCCAAGCACGGCAAAGGCAAGCAGUGGGCUGACAUCGAGCGUGUCGAAGACCGGUGGAAUGAUGUUGCGAAAUAGGUUGAGGUACGGGUCGCAGAGGUCGCGGAUAGCCGAGAGGGGCUGGCGGUCCCAGGGGAUGUUGGGGAACCAACUGAGUAACACCCGGACCAUCAGGAUCCCGCUGUAGAUGUCAAGCCACUUAGCCAUGCCGGCGGCGACGACAGUGAGCGGCGUGUUGAGGUAGCCGCUCG